CCUACGGGAGGCAGCAGUGAGGAAUAUUGGUCAAUGGGCGCGAGCCUGAACCAGCCAAGUAGCGUGAAGGAUGACUGCCCUACGGGUUGUAAACUUCUUUUAUAAAGGGAUAAAGUGAGGCACGUGUGCCUUUCUGAAUGUACUUUAUGAAUAAGGAUCGGCUAACUCCGUGCCAGCAGCCGCGGUAAUACGGAGGAUCCGAGCGUUAUCCGGAUUUAUUGGGUUUAAAGGGAGCGUAGGUGGGUUGUUAAGUUAGUUGUGAAAGUUCGCGGCUCAACCGUAAAAUUGCAAUUGAUACUGGCAGCCUUGAGUACAGUUGAGGUAGGCGGAAUUCAUGGUGUAGCGGUGAAAUGCUUAGAGAUCACGAAGAACUCCGAUUGCGAAGGCAGCCUACUAACCUACCACUGACGUUGAUGCUCGAAAGUGUGGGUAUCAAACAGGAUUAGAUACCCCUGUAGUC
rnacentral:rRNA from 1 species